AUGAAUGCGCAAAAAUCUACUAAAAACUAAAAUAUAUCAUUGAAGUUGACGUUAGACCAAUAGACCAUGUAAUUUAGCUAUGAUGUGUUCAAAGUAAUAAAUUCGCGGUAUUAUUAAAUCGUAGCAGACGAUUCUCGAGGUAAAAUGUCCCAACCUCCAUCCGAUGACAUAAACAGGCUACAGCCCAUAGUAAGUAUGUAAUACAGCCAUACUGGAGUCUGCAACUACGAACAUAUAUCUUAAUGGUAUAUCUUAAUUCGUGGUUGCGACUGCAACACAGCGUCGGCAAUAUACUGCGACAGCCACAGCGAUCUCAAAAAAUUAAAUUAUUAUUAAAUAUUGAUAUUGAUUGAACAAGUAUUUUUGAGGAUUAAUUUUUCUAUAACUUUUCUUGUCAAAUUUGUGGUUACACUGUAAAGAAUGAUAACACCACUUGUAUCAACAUCUGCAGCUAUCAAAUAUCUUUUGAUAAUCUUGAAAAAUAAUAAAAAGUAAAAACUGAGAUACGCCAUACGCAUCGUCCAUCAAAAUCAUAAAAUCCGUACCUAUCCCACGAAUGACAACAAUACUACGAUAUAUUUUGUAAGCAGUUGCGAACAAAAGUUUAUACUUUUUUUAAAUCGGAGAGAGUAUAUUUCCGUUGCGUAGAGCGCAGGCUGUGCAACUACCCAACAGGCAACAGUUUACAGUGGAGUAAGUGUUGCCGAGUUUGUUGUCACUCGUCACUUCGUCAAGUUCGUCAGUAACUAUUCAAAAUUUACCGACGGCUCUUGUUUAACUGUGUAAGAAUGAUUAGAUUAAAUCCUACAAGAAUAGAGCUCAGAAUUGAAGAUCUAAGCGAAUUUGCAGAUAUCAAAAAUCAUUAUGAAACUGUUAAAAAAAAUAAAGAAGAAAAACAAAAAAAUCUAUAUGGUCCUCUUUUAAACAGCAACUCGAAAACCAAACAAGAAGUUGUACAAGAAAGAAUAGGAUUUAUCCCAAGGCCUAGACAUUCAUCAUCAUGAAGGAUAUUACGUCUAAUUUUAUAUUUUAAGUAUUUUAAUUUAUUUAUUUCCAACAUUUUAAUAUAAAAUAUAUUAAAUGAUCAUAACGAUUAACUAUACUACACUAUUUACUUUUCUCAUUCCUUUUACUGUAACAUUAUUUUUUUACCGAUUAUAGAUGCUUAAUUCAUCUAA